GUGCUUGCAUCAUGAUUUACAUUUGAGUGAGUGGCGAACUGGUGAGUAACACGUGGGAAACCUGCCCAGAAGCGGGGGAUAACACCUGGAAACAGAUGCUAAUACCGCAUAACAACUUGGACCGCAUGGUCCGAGCUUGAAAGAUGGCUUCGGCUAUCACUUUUGGAUGGUCCCGCGGCGUAUUAGCUAGAUGGUGGGGUAACGGCUCACCAUGGCAAUGAUACGUAGCCGACCUGAGAGGGUAAUCGGCCACAUUGGGACUGAGACACGGCCCAAACUCCUACGGGAGGCAGCAGUAGGGAAUCUUCCACAAUGGACGAAAGUCUGAUGGAGCAACGCCGCGUGAGUGAAGAAGGGUUUCGGCUCGUAAAACUCUGUUGUUAAAGAAGAACAUAUCUGAGAGUAACUGUUCAGGUAUUGACGGUAUUUAACCAGAAAGCCACGGCUAACUACGUGCCAGCAGCCGCGGUAAUACGUAGGUGGCAAGCGUUGUCCGGAUUUAUUGGGCGUAAAGCGAGCGCAGGCGGUUUUUUAAGUCUGAUGUGAAAGCCUUCGGCUCAACCGAAGAAGUGCAUCGGAAACUGGGAAACUUGAGUGCAGAAGAGGACAGUGGAACUCCAUGUGUAGCGGUGAAAUGCGUAGAUAUAUGGAAGAACACCAGUGGCGAAGGCGGCUGUCUGGUCUGUAACUGACGCUGAGGCUCGAAAGUAUGGGUAGCAAACAGGAUUAGAUACCCUGGUAGUCCAUACCGUAAACGAUGAAUGCUAAGUGUUGGAGGGUUUCCGCCCUUCAGUGCUGCAGCUAACGCAUUAAGCAUUCCGCCUGGGGAGUACGGCCGCAAGGCUGAAACUCAAAGGAAUUGACGGGGGCCCGCACAAGCGGUGGAGCAUGUGGUUUAAUUCGAAGCUACGCGAAGAACCUUACCAGGUCUUGACAUACUAUGCAAAUCUAAGAGAUUAGACGUUCCCUUCGGGGACAUGGAUACAGGUGGUGCAUGGUUGUCGUCAGCUCGUGUCGUGAGAUGUUGGGUUAAGUCCCGCAACGAGCGCAACCCUUAUUAUCAGUUGCCAGCAUUAAGUUGGGCACUCUGGUGAGACUGCCGGUGACAAACCGGAGGAAGGUGGGGAUGACGUCAAAUCAUCAUGCCCCUUAUGACCUGGGCUACACACGUGCUACAAUGGAUGGUACAACGAGUUGCGAACUCGCGAGAGUAAGCUAAUCUCUUAAAGCCAUUCUCAGUUCGGAUUGUAGGCUGCAACUCGCCUACAUGAAGUCGGAAUCGCUAGUAAUCGCGGAUCAGCAUGCCGCGGUGAAUACGUUCCCGGGCCUUGUACACACCGCCCGUCACACCAUGAGAGUUUGUAACACCCAAAGUCGGUGGGGU
rnacentral:rRNA from 2 species